GCAUUUCUGCACCAGCUACUAUUGAAGAUAAUUUGAUACAUCAGCCACCAAUUGUUUAUCACCGUCGUCUUUCUCUUGCAAUCUGUCAUCACACCUCUUGGAGAUGAUGCACCCGUAACAAAGGUGUUCUAUUGUCGUCUUUUGGUAAAUGGAUCUUCUGACCUUUUCCGUAUAGAAUUUAGUAAUGCUGUCUUAAUAGAAGCAAACAGGUGUUUGUAUGGUUGAAAGUGUUGUGCCCAGUGAUCCCAUCGUCGUUUUCUUGCUUAACGAAGCGGUGGUCAAAGAUUAUUGCAAGAGGACGUUCAGAGAUCUACAUUAAUGUGUUCAACGAGUUUAUGGCCUUGGCCGACAGGCCGGGGUAAUCUUUGAGAUUUCAUCGUGAUGGGAACCCAAGCCACCUCUUCUUCAUUUCUUAGCUUUGCCUUUCAUUUAUUUAUUCGUCAUUGUUAUGAAAAACACAUGUUUGAGCGCAAAAAGGAAUUGCAUAAAUCUAUUGUUUGUCUAUUUUUUCUUCUAAUUGCAUUAAUUAGAGAUAAUGGAUGAGCUAGUGAUUAUCGCCACAGGCAUGUAGAGGGAAUAAGUUUGGGUUCAAGUAGCUGACUUUUUGUGGUU